rnacentral:rRNA from 1 species
AUAUUGCACAAUGGGCGAAAGCCUGAUGCAGCGACGCCGCGUGAGCGAAGAAGGCCUUCGGGUCGUAAAGCUCUGUCCUAUGGGACGAUAAUGACGGUACCAUAGGAGGAAGCCCCGGCUAACUACGUGCCAGCAGCCGCGGUAAUACGUAGGGGGCAAGCGUUGUCCGGAAUGACUGGGCGUAAAGGGUACGUAGGCGGUUAUGUAAGUCAGGUGUGAAAGGCUAGGGCUCAACCCUAGUAAGCACUUGAAACUGCGUAACUUGAGUCGAGGAGAGGAAAGUGGAAUUCCUGGUGUAGCGGUGAAAUGCGUAGAUAUCAGGAGGAAUACCAGUGGCGAAGGCGACUUUCUGGCCUUGGACUGACGCUGAGGUACGAAAGCGUGGGGAGCAAACAGG